rnacentral:lncRNA from 1 species
AAAUUUCGGUACCCAAUACUGAACCGAUCCCGAAAUUUCGGUACGGGAAUCGGUCUCAAGUUUUUGGGAUUUCGGUAUUCCCAAACCGAACUGAAAUAUAUAUAUAUAUAUAUAUAUAUAUAUAUAUAUAUUAUUUAACGGCUUAUUAUAUUAACACCCCAUAAAUUGUUGAAUAAACCCCACAAAUUUAAUACACCUCACAUUUGUUUUUUAAUUAAAAAUUAUCUUAAUACACCCCACAUACUUCUCCAUAAUACCCUCAUUCCCCAUAUUCUUAAUAUACACCUUACAUUUUCUAUAUGCACCCCAUAUUUUCUAGACACCAACAUUUCUCAAAUCUUAUAAAGCUUUUAAUUUGGACAAAUAACGUUGACUAAAAUUUUGACAAAAGAUGCCGCCUGGGAUUUAAAGCAUAUGUGGGUUGUUUUCAAUUCCACCAUUAAAACCCAUGUUGUCUAUUUUUAAUAGUGGUAAUUUUAGAUGUUUAAUUCUUCAUGUAAUCUCUGUGAUCCCUAAAAGAUGAAUACGAACAUAGAAGCUUGAAUAAUGUAUCAAAAACAAGAUUAAAUAAUUAUCGAUAUCGUCAAAGUCACUAAAACAAUAAAUAAUAUGAAGCCUUACCUCAUGUGAAGCUUUCGAAACAUCGAUUUCGUGUUUCAUUCGUCAAAAAUAAUUUUUCUCAAUCAACAUAUUUGUAGUUUCAUUGGUUAGGAUUUUGUUCAACAAUGGAGGGUUGGAGGGGUUUUGAUAGUUGAAGAAAAUAAAUAAUACGUUAAAAAUGAUUUGGGGUGUAUAUAGAAUUUUUUUAUUUUUUUUAACCUAAUAAGGUCAAAAUUGCCAUUGCAUAGUAGAAUAAAUAAGUUAUUUAAUAUUAAUUUUUAAUAUGGGGUGCAUUCAACAUUUUGUGGGGUGCUAAUAUAAAAAACCUAUUUAAUUUUUAAAUAUAUAUAUUUAG